ensembl:snoRNA SNORD83 Small nucleolar RNA SNORD83
GCCAAAUGAUGCUUUUAUCUGAUACUGGAGCACUUCAGUGCAAAGAAGACUCUUAUCUAUCACCCAUGACUGAUGGCU